rnacentral:rRNA from 1 species
CAGCAGCAGCCGCGGUAAUACAGAGGGUGCAAGCGUUAAUCGGAAUUACUGGGCGUAAAGCGCGCGUAGGUGGUUUGUUAAGUUGGAUGUGAAAGCCCCGGGCUCAACCUGGGAACUGCAUCCAAAACUGGCAAGCUAGAGUACGGUAGAGGGUGGUGGAAUUUCCUGUGUAGCGGUGAAAUGCGUAGAUAUAGGAAGGAACACCAGUGGCGAAGGCGACCACCUGGACUGAUACUGACACUGAGGUGCGAAAGCGUGGGGAGCAAACAGGAUUAGAUACCCCGGUAGUCCCUGUCUCUUAUAA